rnacentral:rRNA from 1 species
GUGUGCGCUUGUCUCGAGGACUUAGCCAUGCAAGCUAGCGAAGUGGAGCGGCGGACAGCUCAGUAGUGCAGUUAUGAUUUGCUCGUGGCGGGCGGAUAACCGUGGUAAGCUACGGCUAAUACGCGAGGCGGGUGUU